GACGAACGCUGGCGGCGUGCCUAAUACAUGCAAGUAGAACGCUGAAGGAGGAGCUUGCUUCUCUGGAUGAGUUGCGAACGGGUGAGUAACGCGUAGGUAACCUGCCUGGUGGCGGGGGAUAACUAUUGGAAACGAUAGCUAAUACCGCAUAAGAGUAGAUGUUGCAUGACAUUUGCUUAAAAGGUGCAAUUGCAUCACUACCAGAUGGACCUGCGUUGUAUUAGCUAGUUGGUGAGGUAACGGCUCACCAAGGCGACGAUACAUAGCCGACCUGAGAGGGUGAUCGGCCACACUGGGACUGAGACACGGCCCAGACUCCUACGGGAGGCAGCAGUAGGGAAUCUUCGGCAAUGGACGGAAGUCUGACCGAGCAACGCCGCGUGAGUGAAGAAGGGUGUCGGAUCGUAAAGCUCUGUUGUAAGAGAAGAACGAGUGUGAGAGUGGAAAGUUCACACUGUGACGGUAUCUUACCAGAAAGGGACGGCUAACUACGUG
rnacentral:rRNA from 1 species